GUUAACAAGUUGUGACAAUGCUGUUUCAACAACUUGUUAACAAGAUUCGCAACAGGUUUGUAGCAAGCUUGUUAACAAGUACGUCAAUGCUGUUUCAACAACUUGUUAACAAGAUUUGUAGAAAGCUUGUUAACAAGUUGUGACAAUGCUGUUCAACUUGUGAACAAGAUUUCCAACAGCCUUGUAGCAAGCUUGUUAACAAGUUGUGACAAUGCUGUUCCAACAACUUGUCAAC
rnacentral:miRNA from 1 species